AGAAGAGUGUGAAGCAUUCGACCAAACAACAACUGCAGAGCUAAGUGAGGAAGAAUGCAUUACUGUUAGGAGGGUGAAGAAGAAAAAAUACCCAGGGUUUAUCUUAGAUGAGGAUGAAAGCAGCUCAGAUGGUGCUGGAACCGGAUGUGGCAAUGUGCAGAAACCAUGUGUGGAAGCACAGUCGCAACACAGUCCAUCCUUGCCAAAACCACCAAGGGUUCAACAAAAGAGACUUAGAUCUAAGUCCCACAGUCUCCUACACAUCCCUCAAACUACACCG